CCUAAUCAAAAAACAUUCUUGUGGCCAAAAAAAGUACACCUAAGAGAGCAUUAGUAAUAUCCAGUCUCAUCCUCAAACAGUGAGGCAUAAUGCCAAGAGCAAUUAAUUCAAAAGGUCAGAAUACAUUUAUGUUUGGAUUCUGCCUUUUUACUUUUACUAUAGUGUGACCAAGGGCAAGUCAUUAUAUUUCUUUAACUCUCAAUUUAUUCAUCUAUAAAAUGAGACUAAUUUUGUCUUGGUGCCUAUCCUAAAGGUUUGUUGAUGGAAAAAAUAAGUAAUAUAUAUAAAGUGAUAUGUAAAUGAGGGCUAUUAUUAUUUAAAGACUGGGAACUCAGAUGACUUCAGGAUGGGGUCACCUACAUUAUAAAAUUUGUAUUGUGUCGUACAAUCAAUCGUCUUCUCCCCAUCAAUAAUAUCUUCUUCAUUUGCCUGCUGUGGGAGCAUAAAUUACUUUGUUAGAGAGAUUCCUUCCCUUGGGACUUAUAAGAUUUCCCUUCUCAAGAGUCUACUAAUUAAGACAGGAAUAGUCCCUGAAGGUGUAACAUUUUAUACCACUGUCAGUUAUGCCCUUUAGCAGGAUUAGUUACCAGUCUCCUAAGAGAGAAGUCUUAAGGGAAUGAAGGACAGAACAGUCUCUAUGGAUAGAGAACAGGGACUUACCAAGAUGAUUGGUUGAUGGGAAAUCUAUAUAUUACUUUGGGGUUAUUAUAUUCUCUGUUUUGGGGAUAUGUAAGAAGUUGUGGAGGCUACUUUCCAAUAUGACACCUGGGGCUCAUGAUCUUUUUUACUUUCCCUUUUUCUCUCUCUUUUUUUUUUUAUUGCUAGCUAUUUCCCUCCUUCCAUAUUGUUGAAAGCAGAGAAAAAAGAAUAUGGCACAGAUUUCAGAUCUAGGAUGGACCAGAAGAGAUCAUCCAUCUUGUCUAAUUUUCUACCUUCAGACAUGUAAGAGAGUUUCCAUUCAAAUGGAGGAGACAAUCUGGUCAUAGAAGAGAACUAUAGAAGAUCGUGAUAGAUGAAGGGACUGGGGAAGACCUCCUAAAGAAGGUGAAACUUGAGCUGAGUUCCACAAGAAUCCAAGAAAGUCAAGAAAAAUGGCCCCAACAAUAAUUCCAUCUUUGCCUGCUUUGGGGAAAUGAAUAUCAAAACUCCUCAUAAAAAAUCAAAUUUGUCCAGAUUUUAGCUCACCCGUGAGAUGGCCUAAAGAUAUCAGGAGCCAGGUGGUGGAUUAAAUACCUCUGAAUUUCUGCUCCAUAAUAGAACCUCUUUCUCUUAACAAAUCUAACAGAGAAAAAAAGUUUUUUUUGAAAACUUGGCUUCUUUUGUUCCUCUCUGCCAAGUGGCAAACCUGAGUGCUGCAAAGAGAACAACUAUGUCAGUUACUGAUAUUCUUCUUUGAAUUGAUAGACAAUAGAUAGAUGUAUUAUUCUUUUUUAAAAUACUUUUAGAUCUGAGAGUAGGCAGGGAGGAAGGGAUACAAAGCAGAGGAAAUGGUCUCAACCUAGGAGUCUGCAUGACUAAACUGGUAAUGAUGAAAACUGAGUUUUAGUACUGAGUCAGCUACUGAUUCAUUCAUUAUGAGAUCUUGGGAAAGUCCCUUCCAUUUAUGGCCCCACAGUUCCUCAUUUGUAAAAUGAUGGCAUUGGAUUCAUGCGAUGACAUCUUCAAAGAUGACUUUCUUUCCCAAUUGAUAAAUGAUCUAAGGAUAUGAAAAAGUAGUUUUCAGAUGAAGAGAUUAAAGCUAUUUACAAUCAUAUAAAAAAAUUCUCUAAAUCACUAUUGAUUAUAGAAAUGUAAAUAAAACCACUCUGCAGUACCACCAAACACAUAUCAGAUUCUCUAAUUGACAAAAGCAGAAAUGAUGAAUGUUGUAGGGAAUGUGGGAAAAGUGGGACACUAAUGAAUGGUUGGUGGAGUUGUGAAAUGAUCCAACCAUUCCAGAGAGUGAUCUGAACUAUGCCUAAAGGGCUAUAAAACUGCCCAUAUACUUUGAUUCAACAAUAUCACUACUAGAUCUCUAUCUCAAAGAGAUCAUAAAAAAGGGAAAAGGACCCACUUGUACAAAAAUAUUUAUAGCAGCUUUUUUUGUGCAAAGAAUUGGAAACUGAGGGUAUGACCAUGGCCACCAGCUGGGGAAUGGCUAAACAAAUUGCCAUAAUGCCCAUCAAUUGGAGAAUGGCUGGGUAAAUUGUGGUAUAUGAAUGUUAUGGAAUAUUAUUGUUCUGUAAGAAAUGACCAGCAGGAUGAAUACAGAGAGGACUGGCGAGACUUACAUGAACUGAUGCUAAGUGAAAUGAGCAGAACCAGGAGAUCAUUAUACACUUCGACAACGAUAUUGUAUGAGGACAUAUUUUGAUGGAAGUGGACUUCUUUGACAAAGAGACCUGAGUUUCAAUUGAUAAAUGACGGACAAAAGCAGCUACAUCCAAAGAAAGAACACUGGGAAACGAAUGUGAACUAUCUGCAUUUUUGUUUUUCUCCCCGGGUUAUUUAUACCUUCUGAAUCCAAUUCUCCCUAUGCAACAAGAGAACUGUUCGGUUCUGCAAACAUAUAUUGUAUCUAGGAUAUACUGCAACAUAUCCAACAUAUAAAGGACUGCUUGCCAUCUAGGGGAGGGGGUGGAGGGAGGGAGGGGAAAAAAAAUCGGAACAGAAACGAGUGUCAAUAUAAAGUAAUUAUUAAAUAAAAAUUAAAAAAAAACAAAUUGCCAUAUAUAAAUACAAUAGAAUGCUAUUGUUCUAUGAAAAAUGAUGAGCUGACAGAUUUCAGAAAAGCCUGGAGAGACUUCCAUGAACUAAUGGUGAGCAAAGUGAACAGAAUCAGGAGAAUGUUGUACACAAUAAACAGCAACAUUGUGUGAGGAUCUACUAUGACAGACUUAGCUCUUCUUAGCAAUACAAUGCCAUAAGACUUGUCAUGGAAAAUGUCAUCCACAUCCAGAGAAAGAACUAUGGAGUCUGAAUGCAGAUCAAAGCAUACUUUUUUUUUCACUUUUUAACAAGUUGUUUUUUGUUUUGUCUUUCUUGUGAUUUUCCCCUUUGUUCUGAUUUUUCUUUCACAAAAUUGCUAAUAAGGGAUAUAUUUAACAGGAUUGUACAUGUAUAAUCAGUACUAAAUUGUUUGCUGUCUUGAAGAGGGGGGAGGAAAGGAAGGGAGGGAAAAAUUAGAACUCAAAAACUUACAAAAAUGAAUUUCAGAAACUAUAUAUAUAUAUAUAUUUGGAAUAUAUGGAAUACUACUAAAUGCAAAAAAAGAAAAAAGAUGACUUUCAUCUCUGUGAUUAUAUGGAUCUAUAAUAUAAGUUAAUGGUAAUAAAAUGGGAAGGCACAAGGUGCCAUCAGACUUCCCCAUGCAAAGCUAGGCCUUGUUGCUCACAGAUAAUAUAAGGAUUGGAUAUACAGUUUGAUUUCUAUCCCUGGAUCCUCUCUAAGGUAAAGGAUCAAGAAUUGUUGAUUUUGGUGCUGCAUAUAUUAUUUGGCUCAUUAAUAAGCAAACACAAAUUAUAUACAGUGUAAAUAAAAAUAUGAAAUCAUGAAUGAAUGAAAAUAAAGUAUUUCCAUUGGUGGUACCAAUCUGAUUGUACUUGGGAUGUACCUUAUAGCAAUGAUUCCAAAUAUAUACCAUUUCUUUUAAGACAGAUAUUCUUCAUGUUCCUACCCAAUGGAUUUGGGUUUUUUGCCUAGGGGGAGUGUAUGAGAAGUUGUGACCAAACCUUUUGAAUCUUUUCCUGCAGGGGAAAGGUGAAAGGCAGAUUUAUAAUAAUUCUCUGCAUGUCUCCAUUACUGUGGUCUCUAACUGUUCUUUCCUGUGUCCCCUGUUCUGGGUUCACUUUUCUUUGUUACAGUCAGAUCAUUUUUAAAGAUGAUGUCUUAUCUUAAAACUUCUGAGCCUUCAUAUUAUUUAGGCCAUCACCCAGGUCCACUCUCAUAUUUCACCUGCUACUAAAAUGAUAAAGGUUUUUGGAGGAAGUCAUGAAAUUUUAAUGACUUAGUUCACUUACAAAUUGACAGUAUUUAACUUCAAAUGGAUAUUCCAUCCUGCAGACCAAUCCUGUGACCCAUCUCUGAUUCUCCCCCACAAUGACUUUUCCAAAGUCUCAAGAGCCUUCUUUCCUUAAGCCCACAACCCUCAACACUUUACACAGAUCCAACCCUAGAAAGGCAGCAGUGUUUCAUCUGGGCUGGGCUGGUAAAGCAAACUUAAAGGCAUCACAUGAGGGCUAGUUUUAUUCUUUAAAUCUUUAUUUUUAUGAAGGUGAGGAGACAAUGCAUUCCAAACACAACAGCGUCCAGUGGAAAGGCAUGGAAAUGAAAGGAGGAAUGUCCCAAGUAUAGAACAGAAAGAAAACUGUAUCACAGAGUCUGAGGGAGGACAAUGUAAUUAAGAUUAGAAAGAUAAGCUAGGUCCAAGUUAGGUCCAAGUGAGGACUUCAUAGAACUCAUACAGGUAAUCAGUGUCAAAACUGGGACUUGAACUCAGGUUUUCUGACUGUAAGUCUAGCAUCUCUCCAAAGCUCCUCCAUUCUUCCCUUUAAAACUCACCUCAAAGGCUGUGUCCUCUCUGAGAUUUUUUUGGACUUCUACUUCCUUCAUCCCUCUAAUCAUGAAUGACCUUGACCCAAUGAAUCUCACAUAGGAACUAUGAUCCUAUGAACUCUACCAUUGUUCCAGGAUUGAGUCCUAUAGUGAUCCCUAUUACUCUCCAGACAAAAGUAUAGCUUCCUGGGCACCCUUUCUUAUGUGUGUCAUCUCCCGCCUUGAAAUAUAAAUUUCUUGAGGGCUCAACUGGUUUUGUAUUUGUAUUCUCAGUAUUCAGUACAAUGAUUGGCAUAUAAUAAAAACUCAAUAAAUAUUUUUUUCCAUUUUUCCAUUUAUUCAGACAUUUUACCUGCACCUUUUUAAUAUACUUAUUGAGACAAUCAUGUAUCACAAUUAAAUGAUUUGGGUUUGUGUCGGUGGCACAGUGGAUAGAAUACCAAAUUUGGAGAUGGAAAAAUGAGUUCCGAUUCAGCCUCAGACAUUUUGCUAGCUGGGUGACCUUGGGCAAGUCAUUUAAUCCUGUUUGCCUCAGUUUCUUCAACUGUAAAAAGAGCUACAGGAGGAAAUGGCAAACCACUCUGUUAUCUUUGCCAAGAAAACCCCAAAUAAAGUCCCAUAAGAGUCAGAUGUGACUGAAAUGACUGAGCAGUCUUUCCUCACUAGGGAAUAAAUUCCGUGAUAGCAAGAACUGUAAAAUGUCUAUGACUGGGGUCUCUCCCAGCUCUGAGCAUAGUGCUCUGUACAUGACACAUGCAUGUCAGCUGCAUUUUGAUCUAAAUGCUUUCAUGCUUAUCUAACAGUUUGCUGAGAGCAGCAAAUGAAGUAAUUCUUGGAAAAAACUUUGUAAAUCUUAGAGCUUUAUAUAAGAAUAAACAAGAAAAGGUAAACAUU